rnacentral:rRNA from 1 species
GCUGUCUUCGGACGGCAAGUAAAGUGGCAAACGGGUGAGUAACGCGUGGGACAUCUACCCUGAUGAGGGGAAUAACUCUCCGAAAGGAAAGCUAAUACCGCAUAUUCCGGUUUACCGGGAAAGGCCUUCGGGUCGCAUCAGGAGGAGCCCGCGUCCGAUUAGCUAGUUGGUGAGGUAAUGGCUCACCAAGGCGACGAUCGGUAGCCGGUCUGAGAGGACGGACGGCCACACUGGGACUGAGACACGGCCCAGACUCCUACGGGAGGCAGCUGUGGGGAAUUUUGGGCAAUGGGCGAAAGCCUGACCCAGCAACGCCGCGUGGAGGAAGAAGGUUUUCGGAUCGUAAACUCCUGUCCCAUGAGACGAAAAAGACGACGGUAUCAUGGGAGGAAGCCCCGGCUAACUCCGUGCCAGCAGCCGCGGUAAUACGGGGGGGGCAAGCGUUGUUCGGAAUUACUGGGCGUGAAGGGCGCGUAGGCGGCUUCGGAAGUCAAGGGUGAAAGCCCCGAGCUCAACUCGGGAACUGCCUUUGAAACCACGGAGCUAGAGUGUUGGAGAGGAAAGCGGAAUUUCCAGUGUAGCGGUGAAAUGCGUAGAUAUUGGAAGGAACAUCUGAGUCGAAGGCGGCUUUCUGGACAGACACUGACGCUGAGGCGCGAAAGCCAGGGGAGCAAACGGGAUUAGAUACCCCGGUAGUCCUGGCUGUAAACGAUGAACACUUGGUGUGGGGGGUAUAAAGUCCCUCCGUGCCGUAGAUAACUCGAUAAGUGUUCCGCCUGGGGAGUACGGCCGCAAGGCUGAAACUCAAAGGAAUUGACGGGGGCCCGCACAAGCGGUGGAGCAUGUGGUUUAAUUCGACGCAACGCGAAGAACCUUACCGGGGUUUGAACUGUACCUGCAACAUUCAGAGAUGGAUGGUUUCCUUAGGGAACUGGUAUAGGGGUGCUGCAUGGCUGUCGUCAGCUCGUGUCGUGAGAUGUUGGGUUAAGUCCCGCAACGAGCGCAACCCUUGUCUGUAGUUGCCAUCAGGUUAAGCUGGGCACUCUGAGACUGUCGGCGAUAAGCCGGAGGAAGGUGGGGAUGACGUCAAGUCCUCAUGGCCUUUAUGUCCCGGGCUACACACGUGCUACAAUGGAUGGAACAGAGGGCUGCGAGCCUGCGAAGGCAAGCGAAUCCCAAAAAUCCAUUCUCAGUUCGGAUUGCAGUCUGCAACUCGACUGCAUGAAGUUGGAAUCGCUAGUAAUCGCGGAUCAGAACGCCGCGGUGAAUACGUUCCCGGGCCUUGUACACACCGCCCGUCACAUCACGAAAGUGGGCUGUACUAGAAGCCGCUGGCCUAACCUCUUCGGAGGAGGGAGGCGUCGACGGUAUGGUUCAUGAUUGGGGUGAAGUCGAAACAAGGUA